rnacentral:ncRNA from 1 species
UCUUUUGCAAAUAUGGAUAGUUAGAGUCCUUAGCGAGUUCUAUCAGGUAAAGCCAAUGAUUAGAGGCAUCAGGGGCGCAAUGCCUUUGACCUAUUCUCAAAGGUAGGAUGGCACGGCUGCUUCUUUGAGCCACACCACGGAAUCAAUAGCUUUGAGUGGGCCAUUUUUGGUAAGCAGAACUGAUAAUGCAGAUGAACUGAAAACCGAGUUACGAUGCCUAACUGUGCGCUAACCUAGAACCCGCAAAGGGUGUUGGUCGAUUAAGGCUUAGUUUGGAUGCAUAGUAUGUUUACGUCCAGUGAGAUUAAAAACAGCGGUAGUGGUGAGAUUAAUUACUGAUGCGAUGAGAUUAGAUAUUGUAGCGGUGAGAUUAAAAACAGCGGUAGAGUAUGUGUUUGGAUUCAAAUGCAUCUGUAGUGGUAAGAUGAUAAUAGAAAAUAACUAUCAAUGACAUUAUAUUAGAAAUAAUAUAUAAUAGAAGUUUUUAAAAUUAUUUUACUUUUACGAAAUCAUUAAAAAUAUGUGAAUUUAUAAAUUCAUUUAAUAAAAUAUUAAAAUGUAUCUUCCGAUAUUUUAUUAUAUAAAAUGGAAAUUUUUAAUAUUUUAAAUUAAAAUAAUUAAAAAUUAAAAUAAAUAAUCUAAAAGUAGUUAAUUCAAGGAAUAGUAAAUUAAAAUUUCUUUUGAUAAUAACGUAUAUUAGUUUGUUAUAAAAUAAUGGGGAAAAUGUUUAUUAUUUUUGCUUUAACCAUCAAAGUGUUUUUUUUUACUUUUCUUUAUUCAAUUUAUUAAUAUAUGAAAAAGAACAAAAACAACUUUGAAUUUUCAAUUGGACAUAAAUGGAGCAGUGAAAAUUUUAGGGUGUGGCGAGAUCUAUUCCCUUCCACCGCACUGGAAUUUGGUCAUCCAAUGGGAGCUUUGUGCUGGGAUUGCACAAAAAUCAAUAGAAAACACAUUGUACUGAUGCUAAAUGGAGAACCAAAGGAAGCCUAAGACAGCAAGAUGGUGGUCAUGGAAGUUGAAAUCCGCUAAGGAGUGUGUAACAACUCACCUACCGAAUCAACUAGCCCCAAAAAUAGACGGCGCUUAAGCACAAGACCUAUACCCGACUGUCAAGGCAAGGGCCAGGCCUUGAUGAGUGGAGGGCGUGACAUUCGCCACAAAACUUGGGGUGCGAGCUCAGGCGGAGUGGCCGUUAGUG